ACUCACAAAUUUUCCCAUUUUGUGGUCAGCCCUGAACACACAAGGUCUAAGAUGGACUUGAGGCUGAGCUGGAUUUUCCUUUUUGCUCUUUUCAAAGGUGUCCAGUGUGAUGUACAGCUGGUGGAGACUGGGGGAGGCUUGGUACAGCCUGGAGGGUCCCUAAAACUCUCCUGUGCAGCCUCUGGAUUCACAUUCAGUGACUACUGGAUGAACUGGGUUCGGCAGGCGCCAGGGAAGGGCCUAGAGUGGAUUGCUCUAAUUGAACAUAAACCUAAUAAUUAUGCAACAAGCUAUUCAGAGUCAGUGAAAGGCAGAUUCACCAUCUCAAGAGAUGAUUCCAAAAGCAUCGUGUAUCUGCAAAUGAACAGCUUAAGAGUUGAAGACACCGCCAUUUAUUACUGUACUAGAGACACAGAGUUUGGCCCACUGUUAGUUGUGGAUCUCUACGUCUACUUCCAUCAGUUCCUGGAUGAAGUUCUUAUGAUGAUAAUUAAGGAAGACAUCAAUCAGAUUACAGUGGAAGGCCACCUCAUGUACCCUCAUCACUGUAGUUUAGGGACUACCAUUCCAUCAGUGGCACCACCUGAUGAAAUGGGCACACCUACACUAAUCAUCAACAGAAAAACUCUCAAAAAGACUGGAAAUGAAUAA